ACUCCUACGGGAGGCAGCAGUAGGGAAUCUUCCACAAUGGACGAAAGUCUGAUGGAGCAACGCCGCGUGAGUGAAGAAGGGUUUCGGCUCGUAAAACUCUGUUGUUAAAGAAGAACAUAUCUGAGAGUAACUGUUCAGGUAUUGACGGUAUUUAACCAGAAAGCCACGGCUAACUACGUGCCAGCAGCCGCGGUAAUACGUAGGUGGCAAGCGUUGUCCGGAUUUACUGGGGCGUAAAGCGAGCGCAGGCGGUUUUUAAGUCUGAUGUGAAAGCCUUCGGCUCAACCGAAGAAGUGCAUCGGAAACUGGGAAACUUGAGUGCAGAAGAGGACAGUGGAACUCCAUGUGUAGCGGUGAAAUGCGUAGAUAUAUGGAAGAACACCAGUGGCGAAGGCGGCUGUCUGGUCUGUAACUGACGCUGAGGCUCGAAAGUAUGGGUAGCAAACAGGAUUAGAUACCCUGGUAGGAUAGCG
rnacentral:rRNA from 1 species